AACCAUAGAAACCUGCGGAGUACCUGCGGAGGGAUCAUUACAGAGUUGCAAAACUCCCUAAACCAUUGUGAACGUUACCUAAACCGUUGCUUCGGCGGGCGGCCCGGGUCCUUCCCGGCGCCCCUCGGCCCUCGCGGGCGCCCGCCGGAGGUAAACCAAACUAUUGCAUUGUAUGGCCUCUCUGAGUCUUCUGUACUGAAUAAGUCAAAACUUUCAACAACGGAUCUCAGAUCGGAAGAG
rnacentral:misc_RNA from 1 species